AACGAACGCUGGCGGCAUGCCUAACACAUGCAAGUCGAACGAGAUCUUCGGGUCUAGUGGCGCACGGGUGCGUAACGCGUGGGAAUCUGCCCUUUGGUUCGGAAUAACAGUUGGAAGCGACUGCUAAUACCGGAUGAUGACGAAAGUCCAAAGAUUUAUCGCCAGAGGAUGAGCCCGCGUAGGAUUAGCUAGUUGGUGUGGUAAAGGCGCACCAAGGCGACGAGCCUUAGCUGGUCUGAGAGGAUGAUCAGCCACACUGGGACUGAGAAACGGCCCAGCCUCCUACGGGAGGCAGCAGUGGGGAAUAUUGGACAAUGGGCGAAAGCCUGAUCCAGCAAUGCCGCGUGAGUGAUGAAGGCCUUAGGGUUGUAAAGCUCUUUUACCCGGGAUGAUAAUGACAGUACCGGGAGAAUAAGCUCCGGCUAACUCCGUGCCAGCCGCCGCCGUAA
rnacentral:rRNA from 1 species